CGCCGAGGCUCCACCGCGCAGCCGCAAAAGGAGCGGACGGGUCUGCGCCGCCGCAGGAGGAGCAGGCGGUACCUGGACGGGUUCGUCCCGGGCUGUUUCGCGUCCGGCCUGAGGCGGCUGGGGCCGCGCAGGUUUUUAUUCAUAAUCCUCAUACACGGAACCAGCAUGUCAGUGCAUCCAGGGUCUUCCAGAGCCCCCUGGAAUCUGAUGUUUCUCUUCUCAACAUUAACCAGGCAGUCAGCUGUCUGACUGCAGGCGUAUUGAACCCUGAGCUUGGCUAUGAUGCCCUUUUAGUGGGGACACAGACUAAUCUUUUGGCUUAUGAUGUCUACAAUAAUUCGGAUUUGUUCUACAGAGAGGUAGCAGAUGGGGCAAAUGCAAUUGUGCUGGGGACAUUGGGAGACAUUUCUUCCCCUCUUGCGAUUAUUGGUGGCAAUUGUGCUCUGCAAGGUUUCAAUCAUGAAGGAAGUGAUCUCUUUUGGACGGUUACUGGAGACAAUGUUAAUUCCUUGGCCUUGUGUGACUUUGAUGGUGAUGGAAAGAAAGAGCUUCUUGUUGGAUCUGAGGAUUUUGAUAUCCGAGUUUUUAAGGAAGAUGAGAUUGUGGCAGAAAUGACAGAAACAGAGAUAGUCACCUCUCUUUGUCCCAUGUAUGGCAGUCGGUUUGGUUAUGCCCUUUCCAAUGGCACAGUUGGAGUUUAUGACAAAACAUCCCGAUACUGGAGAAUUAAAUCGAAAAAUCAUGCCAUGAGCAUUCAUGCUUUUGACCUUAAUUCUGAUGGAGUGAAUGAACUGAUAACUGGUUGGUCCAAUGGGAAGGUUGAUGCUCGAAGUGACCGAACUGGGGAGGUCAUCUUUAAGGACAAUUUUUCUUCUGCAAUUGCCGGUGUGGUAGAGGGAGAUUACCGGAUGGAUGGCCACAUACAGUUAAUCUGCUGCUCAGUGGAUGGGGAAAGUAAAUUGGGAUGAGAAAAAUCCUUAAAAAGUCACAUUUUCCAUUUGAUUGGGUCAAAAUAUCAGGAAAUUUCACCUGAAGUAUUUGUACCGAGAUCCUGUAGUUCUAAUAAAUUCACCAAAGUUGGGGAGAACUUAGGUUUUUGUUUUUAAGAGCAGGUAAUUGAUGACCUAAAAGUAUACCUGGUUAUACUUGGGGUUUUUUCCUUCUGUUCAGUCCGGGGCUACCUGCCUGGCACGGCUGAGAUGAGGGGGAACCUCAUGGACACCAGUGCAGAGCAGGACCUGAUCCGAGAGCUGAGUCAGAAGAAGCAGAAUCUGUUGCUGGAACUCCGUAACUAUGAGGAAAACACCAAGGUAGGUGUAGGUCCUAAUGUGACCAGGUAAUGGAGGCUGAAAUGUUGAGACUGACCGGGAGGAUCAGCAAAUAUGGAAGAAUGAGAGUGUCAUUGCCAGGGUGUGGCCUUUUUGCCAGUGUCAGAAUUGAGAGGGGAUAUAUGCUUUCAUCUUGAAAUUUCAUUUCCAGGUAGUUAAACUGUAGAAAUGUUUUCCUGAAUGUUUAAGGACAUUUCCUGCAGCACUAUUUAUAGCAGUGAAAACAGCUGGAAGAAACUUAGAUGUUCAUCAGCAGUAGGGAGUAUGUGCUAAGGAAUAUUAGGCAGCUCAAAGAAUGAAUACUUGGACUGAUAUGGAAGGAUAUCUGUCGUCUUACUAAGUGACAAAAGGCAAGAACAAUAUAGAAUGUCUUUUAUCUUUUUCAAAAACAAACAUAUUAAAAACUGACAGCUGUAAAAACGUGUGUGUGCAUACAGCAAACUGGCUGAAAUAUUCCUUUAAUUUGUCUUGUAAUGCAUUACUGUAUUUGAAUUUGAUGUACCAAGGGAAUUUGUUUGCUUACUUUAAAAGAACAAUACUUCAAAAAUGUUAAAGUCAUGAUGGGAUACAGUGGACCAUACCCAUAGAAAGAGGCAAGGGUAUUUUCCCACAGGGCCAGAUAGAGCAAGGGAGCACUAAUGAGGUGAGUUCUCUGAAUUCUAAAGGAUCAGAUUACUAUAAUAAUAAUAAUAUACUGGAGGCUCUGUCUUUUGAAGCUGAAUAGCAAUAUUAUUUAAAAUUGAUAUUAGUUCAGUGUUUUGGUGACUGAGUAGGAAAUGGGUGGGGUGUUUUGCAGGCUGAAUUGGCCAGUCCACUGAACGAGGCUGAUGGGCAUCGGGGCAUAAUCCCAGCCAAUACCAGGCUCCACACCACGCUCUCAGUCAGCCUGGGGAAUGAGACCCAAACUGCUCAUACAGAAUUACGCAUUUCCACUUCUAAUGGUAAGACAGUACUCACAGCUGGUAUUUAGAGGCACCUGUGCCAUCUUGGAGUCAUUCUUUUUUUUUUUUUUUGAGACAGAGUCUUCCUCUGUCUUGGCUCACUGCAAGCUCUGCCUCCCGGGUUCAUGCCAUUCUCCUGCCUCAGCCUCCCAAGUAGCUGGGACUACAGGCGCCCACCACCAUGCCCAGCUAAUUUUUUGUAUUUUUAGUAGAGAUAGGGUUUCACCAUGUUAGCCAAGAUGGUCUCGACCUCCUGACCUCGUGAUCCGCCCAUCUCGGCUUCCCAAAGUUGGAGUUGUUCUUAAACUGUUUUUACUCUUCCCUGCAGACACCAUCAUCCGAGCAGUAUUGAUUUUUGCAGAGGGAAUUUUUACAGGUGAAAGCCACGUGGUACAUCCCAGCAUUCACAACCUCUCCAGUUCCAUCUGCAUCCCUAUUGUGCCUCCCAAAGAUGUCCCUGUGGAUCUGCACUUGAAGGCAUUCGUGGGUUACAGAAGCAGGUGACCCUUUGCAAGUCACAGUUCAUUUCAGGACAGCACUUAGAGGAGGGCAAGAUGUAUAAAUUUUCCAUAUGCCCAGUGGAUUCUUGGGGGCCUGAGAAACCAUUUAAUGGUUCUAUCUACCCAAAGUUUCUCAUGACCUUUUAUUUCCUCAGUUUGAAACCUGUAAAAAGAAAAUGGAAAAACUGAUAUGUAAGUUUAAGAUGGUUCUUUUUUUUUUUUUUUUUUUUUUUGAGACAGAUUCUAGCUUUGUCGCCCAGGCUGGAGUACAGUGGGGCAAUCCCGGUUCACUGCAACCUCUACCUCCUGGGUUCAAGCAAUUCUUCUGCCUCAGCCUCCUGAGUACUGGGACCACAGGUGCCCACCACUGCGCCCAGCUAAUUUUUGUAUUUUUAGUAGAGACAGGAGUUCACCAUGUUGGCCAGGCUGGUCUUGAACUCCUGACCUCAGGUGAUCCACCCGCCUUGGCUUCCGAAAGUGCUGGGAUUACAGGCAUGAGCCACCACGCCCGGCUAAGAUCAUUAUUUUCUGUUUUUAGUCAGGUGAUCUCAUAAUCACAAAAUGUUUAAUUGAUGAUUUGUCAAUUUGUAGUUUUGGCCACUAGAACUACAAGAGUUAGGAUGCACCUUUAUAUUACAGUCAUACAUAACCUCAGCUAGUGAAGAAAAAAACUGCUCUAUUUGUGGAAGAUAAGAUACUUUUUACAUCCCCUUUAUGAUAUUUUAAACCCUUAGUGCAUGCAGGUAUAUAUGUAGACUCAUGCUGUCUUUAAAUCCCAAACCUAAUAUAUUACUGUAGUACUUUAACCCUCAAGUGUUUUGGGGGUUCCUUCUUAAGUGAAACCCUUAAAUAUCAAUUGAUGACCCAGAAGUGGCUUUAUUUUCUGGGCCUUGCAUUUUGAAAGAACAUUCUAUACAAAACAAGUCUCUUGUGUUUCAUUGAUUGGCCAUAGCACCCAGUUUCAUGUAUUUGAAUUGACAAGACAGCUCCCUCGAUUCUCCAUGUAUGCGCUGACCAGCCUGGACCCUGCCAGUGAGCCAAUCAGUUAUGUUAACUUUACCAUUGCAGAACGGGCACAGAGGGUGAGUAUCUCGCUUUUCUCUUUCAAUGCUUUUACACAGUAGAAUCCUUUAGAUGUUAUUUCAUAGAAAGGGAAAAUUACAUUAAUGUGUUAUAUUGGUAGCAGUAAAUAUGAUAUGAAAGAAUUCUCUAACUUGGGGGUGGCUUGUAACCUGUAAUAAAAAUAUUGCUAAAAUACCUUCUCUCACUUUGAAAAAGCAUCUGAGCAAUCCUCAGUUAUUGGUGAAUUCUUACCAGUGUUUAAUUCCUCUCUUUCCGUUAUGGUCUUAGUGUGGUUGUCCUGGUGUAGUAUUUCAAGAGGAACCUGCAGCAAGAUGAAAAGAGAGUGGGACUUGGAGCUAAGAACGUUUUUUGGCUUUAAGUGCUACGUUAACUCAUUAAAUUCUUAGUGAUCUUGGGGAAUUCCCCUCACCAGUGUGAGCCUCAGUUUUCUUAUCUAAUAAGUAAGGAUAAUCUUACCCACCUUAUUGCGGGGGCCCGAGGAUUACAUGAUUGGUGUAACAGUAGCACCUUGUACAUUUGAAAGGACUAAUACCAGUGGACUUUAACCUUGGCUGGGCUUUGGAAUUCUUGGUGGGACUUUUUAAUCAUGUAGAUUCUCAGGCCCCUGCCUGGCCUGUGGAACCACAGACUCUAUAGGUGGGCCCUUCCAGAAGGCCUCAUGGGUGGUUCUCAUGUGGAACCUGUGUUGCAAGCCACUGCAUGGUGUUACUGCUAUUAACAUUAAAACUUAUAUUUUCCUUAUUGUGUGGAUAUAUCUGUGGUGUUUGCCCAUGUAUACUUCAUUUUACAUUUCUUAAAGAAUAGAAUGGAAUGGUUUUAAGCACGCUACAUUGUCCAGGUUAUACCCACAGAAGAGCUGUUGUGUAACAGCAUCAGCAUCAUACCUGAAUCAUUUGUACAUUGCAUAUAAGACUAUGUCUAAGUAGAAGAUGCUAUGAAAUCAUGUCUGCUGUGGGGCCAGGCAUAAUUAUGAAUGUUACUUAAGAGCAUAGGUGAGGUGAGAAAAGGGAGGGUGACUAGUGUUUUAGUAUUUUCUUGGUGUGGGAUGAAGUAUAAUUCUUUUUUUUUUUUCUCAACAAAGCAGUAAAAAUAGAAAGAAGGAGAACUCUUCCCUCAAGAAUGGCUGUACCUUCAUAUCUAGAGGCACAUUAAAAAAAAGAAUGUCUGUACCUUAAAGAUGGAGGUCAUUUCAUUGUGUUCAUUUUCAAGGUUGUCGUAUGGCUCGGUCAGAACUUUCUGUUACCAGAAGACACUCACAUUCAGAACGCUCCAUUUCAAGUGUGUUUCACAUCUUUACGGAAUGGUGGCCACCUGCAUAUAAAAAUAAAACUUAGUGGAGAGAUCACUAUAAAUACUGAUGAUAUUGAUUUGGCUGGUGAUAUCAUCCAGUCAAUGGCAUCAUUUUUUGCUAUUGAAGACCUUCAAGUAGAAGCGGAUUUUCCUGUCUAUUUUGAGGAAUUACAAAAGGUGCUAGUUAAGGUGGAUGAAUAUCAUUCAGUGCAUCAGAAGCUCAGUGCUGAUAUGGCUGAUCAUUCUAAUUUGAUCCGAAGUUUGCUGGUCGGAGCUGAGGAUGCUCGUCUGAUGAGGGACAUGAAAACAAUGAAGAGUCGUUAUAUGGAACUCUAUGACCUUAAUAGAGACUUGCUAAAUGGAUAUAAAAUUCGCUGUAACAAUCACACAGAGCUGUUGGGAAACCUCAAAGCAGUAAAUCAAGCAAUUCAAAGAGCAGGUCGUCUGCGGGUUGGAAAACCAAAGAACCAGGUGAUCACUGCUUGUCGGGAUGCAAUUCGAAGCAAUAACAUCAACACACUGUUCAAAAUCAUGCGAGUGGGGACAGCUUCUUCCUAGGAGAGGAAAAUACAGGUCAUGAAGUUCCUGGCAAAGAUUUUCUGUUAAAAACCUAUGCUGGUUUGCUUUGGAUCACACCCUGGUGAACCCUGGGUGCUAAGAACGAAAAUAACCUUGGUGAGUUGUACAAAUUAAAGACAGAACUACAUGUGAAGAUAGACUUGCUUUCUAUUUUUAAAUCAGUAGUAGUACUGUUGCUGAAUAAUACUAGGUUUUUAUGGAAUAGGAUGAAUGCUUUUGAAGUAUUAGGGCUUCAGAGUCCAAUUUUUGCUUAUUUAUGGUAUAUAAAUACAUAUUUUUUUCUUGAAAUUGCAAUUGAGUUUGUACUUUUCAAAUAGAUUAUCUACUUUUUCAUUAAAAUGUAAAGAUGUUAAA
rnacentral:sRNA from 1 species